GAUGAACGCUGGCGGCGUGCCUAAUACAUGCAAGUCGAGCGAACAGAUGAGGAGCUUGCUCCUCUGACGUUAGCGGCGGACGGGUGAGUAACACGUGGAUAACCUACCUAUAAGACUGGGAUAACUUCGGGAAACCGGAGCUAAUCCCGGAUAAUAUAUUGAACCGCAUGGUUCAAUAGUGAAAGACGGUUUUGCUGUCACUUAUCGAUGGAUCCGCGCCGCAUUAGCUAGUUGGUAAGGUAACGGCUUACCAAGGCAACUAUGCGUAGCCGACCUGAGAGGGUGAUCGGCCACACUGGAGCUGAGACACGGUCCUGACUCCUACGGGAGGCAGCAGUAGGGAAUCGUCCGCAAUGGGCGAAAGCCUGACGGAGCAACGGCGCGUGAGUGAUGAAGGUCUUCGGAUCGUAAAACUCUGUUAUUAGUGAAGAACAAAUGUGUAAGUAACUAUGCACGUCUUGACGGUACCGAAUCAGAAAGCCACGGCUAACUACGUG
rnacentral:rRNA from 1 species